rnacentral:ncRNA from 1 species
CAAAGACUCGGUCCUAACCUUACUGUUACUUUUUACUAAACCUACACAUGCAAGUAUCAGCACACCAGUGAAAACACCCUAAUAAUCCGACCAGACAAAAGGAGUUGAUAUCAGGCACACCAUGACAGCCCAAAACAUCUAGCUUCUUGCCACACCCCCAAGGGACACCAGCAGUGACAAAAAUUAAGCAAUAAGCGCAAGCUUGACUUAGCUAUAGUAAAAAGGGCUGGUCAAUCUUGUGCCAGCCACCGCGGCUAUACAAGAGGCCCAAACCAACAGAAAGCCGGCGUAAAAUGUGACUAAAACAACUAUCCAAAAAAUUAAGGAAAACCUUAUACUCAGCUGUCAUACGCAAAAGUAUACGGCCCCCCAAUAUGAAAACAACCUUAACAUAACAGAACUAUUCGAACUCACGAUCGCUAAGACACAAACUGGGAUUAGAUACCCCACUAUGCUCAGCCCCAAACCUAGAUAUUUAACAUACAAAAAUAUCCGCCAGAGAACUACGAGCAAACGCUUAAAACUCUAAGGACUUGGCGGUGCCUUAAUCCCCCUAGAGGAGCCUGUUCUAUAAUCGAUAAUCCACGAUCCACCUCACCAUCUCUUGCCAAUACCGCCUAUAUACCACCGUCACUAGCCUACCCUGUGAAGGAUAUAAAAGUAAGCAAAAUAGCUAACUAUACAGCUAAUAAGUCAGGUCAAGGUGUAGCUAACUGAGAUGGAAGAAAUGGGCUACAUUUUCUAAACUAGAAAUUACCUCACAGAAAGAAUCAUGAAACAGAUUCCACAAGCAGGAUUUAGCAGUAAAUAAGAAUCAGAAUGUCUAAUUUAAGCUGGACUCAAGGCACGCACACACCGCCCGUCACCCUCCUCAAGCCAACACUAACCAUAAAUAAGACCACAACAGACAAACAGAUGAGGCAAGUCGUAACAAGGUAAGUAUACCGGAAGGUGUACUUGGAAAAUU